AAUUUUUAGUUUUUAUGCUUAUAUGGGUGGGUUUCUUGGAAAUAUCGGUUUUGAUGUUUAGAAUAGUCCUCAAAUGCGUAUGAUUGAUUUUAAACAGAGGAAGUUUUAACUGUUGUGAUGUUAGGGGAAGAGAAUAAAGAUGGACCUGGCGGAGGAAGUUGGAAAACGUACUUACGGUCGGUUUCGUGGAGUGACCGAUCACCUGGAAAGACAAAUCCUAGGCCACGAUGGAACAGCAAGGCUCGGGCUUGUUUGCCUCCCCUUCAGCCUCUUUCGGUUACUAGGCCUAGCGGGGAGGAAUGGCCGAGGGCUGGCUCGGAUGAUAUUGGCAUAUGGGCGAAUCCCCCUACUACUCCUGGUGCACGGCUUGGAUCAACGACUCACCGCGGAAAUUCAAAUUCAGAAAACCCUCCUAGAGAAUUUGAAUUCAAGAAAGAUAAGCUCGCGUUCUUUGAUAAGGAAUGCUCGAGAAUUUUGGAUCAUGUAUAUUUAGGAAGUGACGCUGUUGCAAAGAAUCGUGAAAUUUUACGGAAGAAUGGAAUAACCCAUGUGUUGAACUGUGUCGGGUUUGUUUGCCCGGAAUAUUUCAAGAAUGAGCUCGUGUACAAGACACUUUGGCUGCAGGACAGCCCGUCUGAGGAUAUCACGAGCAUUUUCUAUGAUGUUUUUGAUUAUUUUGAAGAUGUUAGAGAACAAGGUGGGCGAGUCCUUGUUCACUGUUGCCAAGGGGUAUCUCGAUCAACCUCGUUGGUUAUUGCUUAUCUUAUGUGGAAAGAGGGACAAAGCUUCGAGGACGCGUUCCAGCUUGUUAAAGCAGCAAGAGGAGUGACUAACCCGAAUUUGGGAUUUGCCUGUCAACUUCUGCAGUGCCAGAAGCGGGUACACGCCCUGCCGGCAAGCCCAUCUUCUGUGCUUCGUAUGUAUCGAAUGGCACCUCACUCUCCGUAUGAUCCACUUCAUCUGGUUCCCAAACUGUUGAGCGAGCCGGGCUCAGAAAAACUCGAUUCUCGUGGAGCUUUCAUUGUUCACGUACCUUCAGCGAUAUUCGUCUGGAUGGGGAAGCAUUGCUUCAAAGUAAUAUCAGACAAAGCCAGAUCAGCUGCCUCUCAAGUCAUCCAUUACGAAAGAGCCAAAGGUCCGGUUAUAACCGUCAAUGAAGGUGAAGAAACAUCUGAAUUCUGGGUUGCUCUUGGCUUGCAGAAUCGUUUAGCAGAUGUUUGUGGUAUAGAGAUAACAGAGGAGGACAGGAUUGGCCAUUCGAUCCGUCCGGGGCAAAGGAAAGUUGAUGAGUAUGAUCAAGAUUUCAGAAUUUUUUUCAAAGCACUAUCCGGUGGGAUCAUUCCACCUUUUCCAUUAUCAGGAAGUGGUUCCGAGACAAGUAUACCUGCUAGAGAAAAUGGUUGGAGCAGAUUGAGAAGAAAGUUGACCAGUGGAAUUAUGGAAGAAUAUAUCACGUCUUCGAAAUUGAACUGUAAUUUGACUCAAGCAAGUGAUAAACGGGAUGUGAUAGAUACACGUAAAGUUCCAUUGCCUUCGAGUCCUCAGUGCGAUUCACCUGAUUCGCUUGCUACAUACGAAACUGGCAGCCCUGUUGCGAUAAUGGAGAAAGUGGAAUACUCCGUUCCUCUUACUGAUACUGUAACAUCACCAUCUCCUUCACUCAAUUCAUUGGAUUCUUUUAGUUCUUAUCUUGUGAGCAAACCGAAAUCCAGUUCAACAUCCCCAUUGCUAUCACCUUCAACCUCCGAUUAUUCAAGUUCAUUUACCUUUUCACCCUCAUCGUCUAACUGGUCAGACUUGCCAUAUUUAUCGGCUCAGCCUUCACCUUCUGGUCUUGAGUCUAAAGAUCCUGUUAAGAGCGGUACCUCAGAGGAAAGUGCGCUUUUACCUCUUCAUGUUUCUUCCCCUCCGCCAGAAGCAGCAUUUUCCGGUAGUCGUGCUUUCAGAACGGCAAAUUUGUCAUUUAGAAGGUCACCCUCCCUUGCAGAGCGCAGAGGAAGCAGUCCUCCUCCUUGGAUGAUGUUACCUCAAGUGGACGAGGCAUCUAAUGCUUCAACCAAUUCGACAAAUUUGUCUUCUCAUGCAGAAGAUGAAAUUAUACAGGAUGUUGAAUACAACUUAGAACAUGAUGGAUCUUCGGAGACAAAUAGAGAAGAGCCAAUGUAUGAUGCUUGCAGCUAUACUGCUGACAAUAAUCCAUUUGAGUUUUGACGACUACAGUGCUGAUGUUUUAUACGUCCGUUUAGGGCACGAUGUGCAGUGGAAGCGAACAAUCCAUCAGUUGAUUGGUAAUGAUAGCACAUGUGAAGACAGUCGUACCUAUUCUGAGACGGUUGGUCAUGUUUUUCUCAUGGAGAAGAGCUUAAGUGCUAUCACUUUCAUUCAGGUACUUGUUGCACCCCUAUAGAUAAAAGGCACCGACUCGUAAAUGCUUUCUUGUCAUGUCAAUGCCUAUAUACUUGUACUCAGAUCUAAUCUCCUCUGUUGACAGGAGCUAUAACGUGUCACUCAUACCCAGUGAACAUUUUAACUCCUGUCCACAAUGAGCAGGAGAUCAACCCUAUACUUCAAUUAUUACUUACUCCAUGCUAUUCCUUUUUCUCGUGCAUUCUUGAACUAUGUCAAUGUGUGUCGUGUUAUAAGAUAGAAGAAACUCUUCCUAAAGCUUUUAUAAUAUUAUGUUGGCCUUUGUUCAAACAAAGAAGUUCUCGUGCCCCCCAAUCUUAGCUUCGAGUCUCUUAAUAAUUUGUAUAGAUGUAUAGACGUCGUGCUGCCAUGUACGUGUUCACCCAGUUGUAUGCUUCUGUCUAUAUAUAUAUAUAUAUAUGAUGGUUUUGAUAUAAAUUCUUCCAAAUGUGGAAUUGCAGAUAGUUAAUGAAGAAUCAUUGCAGUUCCUCGAGCAUUUUGCCUUUGGAAGGAAUUGCAGACAUAGUUAAAGAAAGCGAGGAACCGGUUCAGUUCCUCCCCCACCUUUUUCUCGUUUAAUAUAGACUUGACAAUACUGUGUAGUAGACAUGCUGGUACUAGACAUGCGCUAAGGACAUUAUAGGGAAUAAGUUAUAGGAAUUAUGAGAACAAAAGAUUCUGCUUAUUCUUGGUUCAUUAAAUGUUAUGUACAUUCAGAUUCAGCACCUAAGUUGUAGUUUUUUAAAGUACAAUUAUAGAGCACUAUUUUACUAGCAUUUUGUCUUAUCAAUUUUACAAGUUAUUUAUUUAAUAAUUCGAUUUGAUUAUCAUAUCAUUCUAGCCUAUCUUAGUAAUCGCAUUCAUGAAUUUGUAUAAAGAAAAAGGAAAUAACAACGGCUACUAACAAUAAGCACAAUUAACAUGUUUAGCCCAUAACAUUAUCGGGAAAGGAAAAUUCUUUGAUAGAUUGAAAUUACAUGACAGAAGAUCUACAAGAAAAUAAAGAAAAUCGAACCUGGAAGUUGAACAUGUGAAAAAGCUUAAACUUGUCGCUUUUUCUCAAAUCUGUUUUUUCGAUCUUAAAAUAGCCAUUGUUGGGCCAAGUACACUGCCUCUCAGAGCUUUAUAUGACCACGAUUUCUUCCCUGAUCCCUGAGAUAGUUGCAGCCAUCUAUUUUUUACAAAAAUAUUAUUCCACCCAUUUCAUUUCCACAAAAUGAGAGUCAAAGAGGGGCUAAAAGUCACAAAUGUGACACACAUGAUGUCUUAAAUUUUUAUUUUUAUUCUUUUUUUUUUUUUGAUCAAUUUUACCAUUAUUAUCUUUAAAAACAAGUUGCGUUUGUUUUGUAAAACCGUAUACACAAAAGUGAAUUUCACUUGUUAGUUUCAUUGCGCGAAGAUUUAUCUUAUCUAGUACUUGUUUGGAGUAACUAAAAAAUUGAAAUUAAAGUCAACAAUUAAUUUUAGUCACUCACUUUUGGAAUUCACAAUUUAUUAACUACAAAAAUAAUCAAUUUUUGUCAAAAUCUAUUAAAAUUUUUAUAAAAGAAUUUGUCGAACAGUCUAUUAGUAAGUUGUAUGAAAAUUUCAAACUAAUUUUGCAUAAACUCAAAAUAAAAUAUAAACAACCAUAUUCCUAAUAUUAUAAUUAAUUCAUAAAUCAAAGUCUCAUUGCAUGCCACUUUAUUCAAACAAGAAACACUCACCAAGCAAAAAUUAAACUAAAUUAAAAUGAAUAAUCAAUUCUUAAAUAAUUAGAAUUCAUACCGUGGAGACGUGUUAAGUUUGACCAGUUCUGUUCCUGGUCAACAAAAAUGGCCAACUUGUCGUUUUCAUUUUCUGUUGGCUUACGUGAGUCUCUACCUCUACAUGUAUAAAUUCAAUAAUAGUCACUUGAGUUCAAGAAAAAUUCCAAAUUGGUUAUUAAAUUAAUCUUGUGACUCAUUUAGUCACAAAAGUUAAAUAAUAUUACAUAUUCAAUCAAUCCGUUAACCUGAUUAAAGUCAUAUCCGACGUAGGAGUCGUUCAAGUGAACUAAUGGCCUUUAAAGCAAGCACUUUCUUUUUAUCUAGCCUUUUAUUUUAGGUUUGUGGUGAUAUUUUACGUUUUAUUUAUGGUUAAAAUCGAGUUAGAGAUAAAAGAGAGAUAUUUGAACUUUUUAACAAAAGGUCUUUUAUUUUAAGAAUUGCAUUUUAUUUUGAAGAUAAGUAAUAUCACGAUGUGGAUACAAUGAUUGCUAGACAAAUUCGAUGUUUAACAGGUUGAUAUCGAAUCCAGCAUACAUGUCUUUAAAGGAGUAAUAAAAUAUCUUUCCUUUAAGAAUUGCAUUUUACUCUUAAGAUAAGUAAUAUCACGAUAUGGAUAAAAUGAUUGCUAGACGAAUUCGAGGUUUAACGGGUCUUUAUCGAAGCUAGUAUACACGCCGUUGAAGGAAUAGUUGAUUGUGUGUAACUUUAACAUAUGUCACAAAAAUACUUUGAUAACCAAUUUCAAAUUUCUCUUGCACUUUAAUGACCACUUAUGAAAUUAACUCUCUCUAUACUUUCCUCUCUAUUGACACACACGCUCUCUCUCAUUGGAGGGACCCUUUGAAUUGGCUGUCUUUCGGAAAUGAUCAUACGUAGUUUCGAUGCAGUAGAAUCUGUAUUCGUUGUAAUAAUCAAAAUCAAGCUGCGAAAACAGAAAUUCUAUUAUAUUAUUUCCUUUUAAGUAUCUCUCUUAAAAUUUUCUAUGUUCUCUGGUUGUUUGUGUUGAAACUUUGUGCCCAGAAACAGAAUACUUUGUUAGGAGUUUUACUUGGUCAUAUUUGGAUUUUUGAUUUCUCCUCUUCUUUAAGAAUCUUUAUGGUCAAGGGUUUUCGGUGGGAAAAAAAGCAGAAUAUUUUGAAUGGUGGUUAUUAUAUAUGUUUGAAGACUAGUCAUGAAAUUGAUUGUUUCUGAGGGUAUUCCUUGAAGAAUCCUCAAGUGGGUAUCUCUGAAAUUUGUAAAAAUUGAUAUUUAUGUGCCUGGAUUUAAUUUUUAGUUUUUAUGCUUAUAUGGGUGGGUUUCUUGGAAAUAUCGGUUUUGAUGUUUAGAAUAGUCCUCAAAUGCGUAUGAUUGAUUUUAAACAGAGGAAGUUUUAACUGUUGUGAUGUUAGGGGAAGAGAAUAAAGAUGGACCUGGCGGAGGAAGUUGGAAAACGUACUUACGGUCGGUUUCGUGGAGUGACCGAUCACCUGGAAAGACAAAUCCUAGGCCACGAUGGAACAGCAAGGCUCGGGCUUGUUUGCCUCCCCUUCAGCCUCUUUCGGUUACUAGGCCUAGCGGGGAGGAAUGGCCGAGGGCUGGCUCGGAUGAUAUUGGCAUAUGGGCGAAUCCCCCU
rnacentral:lncRNA from 1 species